CUGGAUAUAAAUGUUUGAUUUGAGCCACUCGAUUAGUGGUAUAAAAUUUAUGCUUACAUAGUGUUUUCAACCCUCAACUACCAUAGGAAUAUCGCUUAAUGAAUCUCCACAACUUGCCUGUGAGAAACAAAGAGUCUUGGCCUGAGGCGGGUAGCUGACUUCAGAGACCGGGAACUGCCUGUGGGUUAUUUCCUUGGCAGUGGACAUCUCUUUCCACCUGAACUGGAGCAGAUCUUACCCCAGUCCACUACAGUAGUUCACUACAGUAGUCUGAAUCCCAGCCUCAGACUUUGAAAGAGAUCCCUCAGAGUUUGGGAGAAUUAGCAUUUAAAGACUGAGGCAGCGUUUGCUCUAGCUGACAUGACACCAAACAAGCCUCCUCUUUGUGCUCUUGGA